UGGAACAAUUUCUGUAAAUUUCCUGGGUAAC
rnacentral:piRNA from 1 species